GAUCUUCUCUAAAAGGUCAACUGCUGGACUAUAUAUUCUGCUUAUUUUUGUUUAGAACUUUUAUUGCUUUAAUAAAGAUAUUAGAUUGUUUAUUGGUCUCCAUGUUGGUUUCCAGUGUUCGCGCUGCUUAGGGGUGUUACAAUCCUAGAGUUCUUCCUGUUAACUAGCCCAGCCUAGAGAGUCAAUCCCUUGUACCGAUUCCCACAAGGAAUCAAACUGCUGUCUGACCUUUUCCUUGUCAGCUCACAGCAAGCAACUCUCUAACCUACACUUCCAAACUCCCUCUCUCUCCCAACUCAGCUCAACUCCAACUCUCACUUCAACUCACUCAAACUGAACUCCCUUCUCUUCCCUCUUUUCUAAGACUUGGCUCCUCCCAACUUCCUCUGGCCAAUCCUAGGAGUCUCCAAACUCCUCCCCUUUUCAACCAGCCUCACUCCCAAAAUGGAGUCCUGCCCUACUGUUAUCCAGGCUCCCUUUCCGGCCUAACAGACAAUUAAAAUGCCAAGUGAAGCACUGCGAAAGCUUAUAAAUGUGGAAUUGGCUGGAGACAUCGGAGUGGCAGCUAAAACCCCAUUUCACAAAAGGAGCUUGUAAACAGAAACAUUUGCAAUAAACAAGAGAGGGGAGCAGUGGGAAGAAAUAU